rnacentral:rRNA from 1 species
ACGGUCCUAAGGUAGCGAAAUUCCUUGUCGGGUAAGUUCCGACCUGCACGAAUGGCGUAAUGAUGGCCAGGCUGUCUCCACCCGAGACUCAGUGAAAUUGAACUCGCUGUGAAGAUGCAGUGUACCCGCGGCAAGACGGAAAGACCCCGUGAACCUUUACUAUAGCUUGACACUGAACAUUGAGCCUUGAUGUGUAGGAUAGGUGGGAGGCUUGGAAGUGUGGACGCCAGUCUGCAUGGAGCCGACCUUGAAAUACCACCCUUUAAUGUUUGAUGUUCUAACGUUGACCCGUAAUCCGGGUUGCGGACAGUGUCUGGUGGGUAGUUUGACUGGGGCGGUCUCCUCCUAAAGAGUAACGGAGGAGCACGAAGGUUGGCUAAUCCUGGUCGGACAUCAGGAGGUUAGUGCAAUGGCAUAAGCCAGCUUGACUGCGAGCGUGACGGCGCGAGCAGGUGCGAAAGCAGGUCAUAGUGAUCCGGUGGUUCUGAAUGGAAGGGCCAUCGCUCAACGGAUAAAAGGUACUCCGGGGAUAACAGGCUGAUACCGCCCAAGAGUUCAUAUCGACGGCGGUGUUUGGCACCUCGAUGUCGGCUCAUCACAUCCUGGGGCUGAAGUAGGUCCCAAGGGUAUGGCUGUUCGCCAUUUAAAGUGGUACGCGAGCUGGGUUUAGAACGUCGUGAGACAGUUCGGUCCCUAUCUGCCGUGGGCGCUGGAGAACUGAGGGGGGCUGCUCCUAGUACGAGAGGACCGGAGUGGACGCAUCACUGGUGUUCGGGUUGUCAUGCCAAUGGCACUGCCCGGUAGCUAAAUGCGGAAGAGAUAAGUGCUGAAAGCAUCUAAGCACGAAACUUGCCCCGAGAUGAGUUCUCCCUGACCCUUUAAGGGUCCUGAAGGAACGUUGAAGACGACGACGUUGAUAGGCCGGGUGUGUAAGCGCAGCGAUGCGUUGAGCUAACCGGUACUAAUGAACCGUGAGGCUUAACCUU